rnacentral:lncRNA from 1 species
GGCCUUUGUUAACCCUGNCCUAUCUCUCAUCGGUCUGCUCCCAACUUCUUCCGCGAGGGUCUGUAAAUAUUCAUGGGCCUUUGCAUGUUGCUAGCCAGGGCGUGGUUGAUUUUAAUGACGUUGAUUUUAAUGACUCUUGGACUGAGCACCUAAUUCGUGCCAAGGGCUUCCAGCUGAAAUCCAGUUCCUGCGCCUUAAGUGCAAUAACAACAGAGCUCAAAGGAUAUAUUUGGGAGAUGCAAGGACAGACGAAAGAACAAUCCUGCAACUUGAAACCCUCGCUUAGGGUUGGAUUGGAUAUUGGGCCCCAGUGUCAGUCACUACNUCCAGGCAAAGUGAACUGUUCCUGGAAUGUGAAGCAUGCAGCUCCCCAAACUGGUUGGGCUCGCUCCGAAGGGCGGCGUUGCCUNCCGAAACUCUGCCUUGGGAGUUCCUCGUCCUUCGCCUCGGCUUCAUGCUCCCGUCCGCCACUCCAGCGAUCGUCUCCAGGGCGGACGGAAUGGAGACCCUGCGCCGGAGCCUUUCGCGUUGGAAGAAGUACCACAUCAAAAUCCACCUGGCCGAGGAGGACACCUUGCUGCCCCUGACCGUGCGGCCCACGGACACUAUGAUGGACCUCCGGGCCCACCUGGUGCGCGAAGGCGUCACGUCGUGGAAAAAGACGUUCUGCUACAACGCUCGNCAGCUCGAGGAGCACGAGACGGUGAAGGAAGCCAAGAUCCAGAACGGGUCGGUUGUCCUGCUGAUCAGCAACAAAAGGUGAUGUUCGGCGGAGGUGCUUUAGGAUCUGUCAGUAUGGUGUUGUCGUUCAGGGAGAAGAUUGGUUCUGGACCUCUCUCGCACCCAGGUGAAGAAGAGAGGUGGGAAGUUUUCCAUUCCCCCAGGAAACUGGGAGAGAAAGAUAUCCAAAGGUUUGGCGUCAUUGUGAGCCGUCGUUUUAGCUGGGAUAGGAGGAACGCGAUCAGCCCGCUCUCGCGAUGUUGAUCCGAGNGUCGAGUCCCCAAGGAGUUGCAGCUGGCGACGGGGUCUUUGGCUCCCUGAUCUCGGAGGAGAUUCCCUUCUUGUGUCCGAUCCCUGCCGUUCNCACACGCACACGCUUUUCACUCCGUGUCAGGGGAGACUCAAACAAGUCAGGGCAAAAGGCCUCGGCUUCCGGGGCCUGGAAAGAAGAAUUUCCAGUUCAGAGGGCGUGGGCGAGACAGGUUUCAGUCUCCUACGCAGGGAAGAAGGUGAAAUCCUUCUCCCUGGAGAAGGGCCGAAAGGAACGUAAGAACAUACNUAAGAGAAGCCUUGCUGGAUCAGGCCACGGCCCACCUAGUCCAGCAUUCUGUUUCACACCAUGGCCCACCAGUUGCUUCUGGGCAUCUCAAGCAGAAUAUAAAGGCAAAAACCUUCACUUGUUCCUGACUUCCUGCAAAUGGCCUUUUAGAGGCCUCCUAUCAUUAAAAGAUGAAGGCCGGAGUAAAGAAGCAUCAGUUCCAAUAAAAAAACAUUGAGCAAGAUGCUUCA